UUCUGAAUAUUCAUAUAUCAUAUCUUGUGAUUUAAUUAAAGCAAUUGAUUACCUCACUUCUUAAUUAAGCACUGAAGGAGAAAUCAAUCCGAAUAGAGCAAAAGAAAGAUCAAAUUGACAAUUUCAUUAAAUGUUUGGAACCUCUAAACAUUUAAUUUUGACCAAGAGCGAAAACACUUUUCAAUUCGACACAAUUCCCUUGCGACAUGAAUCAUGUAUGGUCUAUCAUNNN
rnacentral:lncRNA from 1 species